rnacentral:rRNA from 1 species
GAUGAACGCUGGCGGCGUGCCUAAUACAUGCAAGUCGAGCGGACGGACGAGAAGCUUGCUUCUCUGAUGUUAGCGGCGGACGGGUGAGUAACACGUGGAUAACCUACCUAUAAGACUGGGAUAACUUCGGGAAACCGGAGCUAAUACCGGAUAAUAUUUUGAACCGCAUGGUUCAAAAGUGAAAGACGGUCUUGCUGUCACUUAUAGAUGGAUCCGCGCUGCAUUAGCUAGUUGGUAAGGUAACGGCUUACCAAGGCAACGAUGCAUAGCCGACCUGAGAGGGUGAUCGGCCACACUGGAACUGAGACACGGUCCAGACUCCUACGGGAGGCAGCAGUAGGGAAUCUUCCGCAAUGGGCGAAAGCCUGACGGAGCAACGCCGCGUGAGAGAUGAAGGUCUUCGGAUCGUAAAACUCUGUUAUUAGGGAAGAACAUAUGUGUAAGUAACUGUGCACAUCUUGACGGUACCUAAUCAGAAAGCCACGGCUAACUACGUG